rnacentral:rRNA from 1 species
UACGUAGGGUGCAAGCGUUGUCCGGAAUUAUUGGGCGUAAAGAGCUCGUAGGCGGUCUGUCGCGUCUGCUGUGAAAACUCGGGGCUUAACCCCGGGCCUGCAGUGGGUACGGGCAGACUAGAGUGCGGUAGGGGGAGACUGGAAUUCCCGGUGUAGCGGUGAAAUGCGUAGAGAUCGGGAGGAACACCAGAGGCGAAAGCGGCGACCUGGACAGCGACUGACACUCAACUACGAAAGCGUGGGGAGCAAACAGG